GUGUUGCUCUGUGGAGCUGAAGUGGCAGAAUGGAAUCCUUGCUGGAAUUUUGCUGUACAAAUAUUCACAACAUGGAGUUCUGGUAUAUUUCAGAAAUCAAGAUUCCAAAUUUUGACUGAAAACUGCUUCUCAGGCAUUUUCAAAUGGAAAAGCAGAAAGAUUUUGGUUGACAACAAUUCUAACUUCAUCACCACUCAUAAAAAGGCAUAUUUGUAUUAUCCCUCUGAUUGUUACUUCAUAAACAGUAAAAUUUUGUUAUUAUAGUGUAUAAAUCUGUAUCAUAGAUAAUAAAAAUGAAUACUUUUAA